rnacentral:rRNA from 1 species
CCUACGGGCGGCAGCAGUCGAGAAUCAUUCACAAUGGGGGAAACCCUGAUGGUGCGACGCCGCGUGGGGGAAUGAAGGUCUUCGGAUUGUAAACCCCUGUCAUGUGGGAGCAAAUUAAAAAGAUAGUACCACAAGAGGAAGAGACGGCUAACUCUGUGCCAGCAGCCGCGGUAAUACAGAGGUCUCAAGCGUUGUUCGGAAUCACUGGGCGUAAAGCGUGCGUAGGCUGUUUAGUAAGUCGUGUGUGAAAGGCGCGGGCUCAACCCGCGGACGGCACAUGAUACUGCGAGACUAGAGUAAUGGAGGGGGAAGCGGAAUUCUCGGUGUAGCAGUGAAAUGCGUAGAUAUCGAGAGGAACACUCGUGGCGAAGGCGGGUUCCUAGACAUUAACUGACGCUGAGGCACGAAGGCCAGGGGAGCGAAAGGGAUUAGAUACCCCAGUAGUC